rnacentral:lncRNA from 1 species
GCUGAUAUUGUGAGACAGAAGGUAAAGCCUGAACAAGUUUAUAGCCUCAGUGCAAGUAGCUGAAGAACAAAACCACUAACUCCAUGUGAAGAAGGAUAUCAAGGUUUUUUAAAAACAAUAAAAAAUGAUAGAGUUGUAGACCUAGUUACGCAUCAUAUAAAAUCCUCCCAUACCUACCAGCUUAUGUAUUCAUCCUGUCUUUGAUCCUGGCCCUUGCCUAUUUUCUAAGGGACAGAUACAACGAUAACUCAGGGACUUCCCAGGUCCAGACUACUCCCCCUGCUCUACCACCAGUAGAAGUUUGGCACCCUCAUGCAAUGCAUUGGCUGAUAAGGAAAGACUUACCUUCACAUGGUCAUGCUGGACCCACGGGUAUCUGCUUCUCUCUAUAUGAGAUUUUCUCUUUCUACAAAAUCUUAGAAAUAAAAUAAGAAAAAAAUAGUUCACCUAAAUUAAGCAAAUAUUUUCCUAUAAAGCACCCACAUUUUCUUGCAAUAAAUACGUUAACCUGGAGAAAUGUCACUAAUGUCAAAUUAACUUCUCAAUUAAUAAAGACCAAUUUUGAUGUAUUUCUAGCACUUUCAAGCUAGAAAUAAUGUGAAUAGUUUUAAACUGAAGUGUUUUACACUUCUGGUAAAUAUUUGGCUUCUGUGCUUUUAAGUUACUGUUAUAACUCUGAAGCCAUAUUUUGAUUUAAUCCUGAAAGGUUUCAAAAAGAAAUCAUGGACUACAAAACUUGUAUAGAGUAACUCUUUUGUGUUAAGCAAAUAAAUACAACGUUAAAAAAUUCUGCAUUGGACAAAAGUAAAGCAGUUUAGCUUACUCAAAUAAAACACAGCUGAAUGAUGAUCAGUGUAUUCUUCUAUAUGUUAUUGUAUCUUCAACCUCACCAGACUUUUGGCUGGUAGUCCCAACAAUGUGUCCUAAACUUCAUAUUACCUGUUUUGAUGUUGAUUUUCACUGCAACUGACCAUAAACACUUCAAGUUAGAGACUGUUAUUGAUAUUAUUUCUCUUUUUAAUUAUUAAUGUUAUGUGAAGUAACAAGCAUAUAGUAGGGAAUCAAUAGAGAAAUUAAGAGGAAAAAUACACAUCUGAAGCUGAAAUAAAAUACUCAGAAGGGAAGUAUUACGGGAGAUAUUUUAAGGACUUGACAUUUCAUUGAUUAAGAUUUCUUUUUUUCCUCAUUGUGUAGUAUCAAAGAUCUUUCAAAAAUUACAGUGAUAUCAACAUAGAAGAACGUAUUUAGAAACAUCACAUAAUGAUUCUAAAAUAUUGUCUUUACUUUUAAGAUUUUUUAGAAAUCUCUCUAACAUAAACUUCCAUGGGAAUGGGAUCACUUAAGGAUAAGGAACUUUGGAUUGCUGCAGAGCCAUAAAUUACAAAUUCCAACCAGUUGACAGAUUGAACUUUGAAAAAAAAAGAAAAAUGCAAACCCACAAGUUUAAAAUGUAAACAUGUUGCCCAAAACCAUUAAAAAGUCAGUUUGCAUGAUACUCUCAAGGUUGUUUUUUAAAAAGGCUGUUUGUUAAGUAAAGACAGUAUUGUUCACCCUUUGAAGCUGAUUCUCAAGAAGGGGUGCCCUUCUGCUACUCUCUAUAUAAGGUUUUAUUUCCUGCUUAGAGUUGUCGUAGGCCUGUGCUAAUGCUUUCUACUGCUUUAUUUCUAAAAUUUUGUAUAUGAAGCUAUUGCUAUAGGAAAUCUUUUUUUUUCUUAAGACUUUAAUACCUGGUAAUCACACUACUGUAGAAUUACUUCUCUAUAAGGACCUUAUCAGUAGGAUUUAGUAGGCAAUUCAAGAAGAUAACAAGCCAUGAAAAGAUUUGGAAUUUUUCUGGCUAUGAGAUAAUCAAUUAUGAUCUAUAAAAUUCUCGGAAUUAUAUCAUUUUGGAACU